CCCUUAGAUGUUCUGGGCCGCACGCGUGCUACACUGAGUGGAUCAGCGGGUCAGGUUGCGCGAAAGUGUUUCCUAAUCUUGAAAUCCGCUCGUGAUGGGGAUUGACGGUUGCAAUUUUCCGUCAUGAACGAGGAAUACCUUGUAAGCGCGGGUCAUCAUCCCGCGCUGAAUACGUCCCUGCCCUUUGUACACACCGCCCGUCGCUACUACCGAUUGAAUCGUUUAGCGAGAAUUUUGGAUCGGAGCCCUGGUGGGCAGCGAUGUCCGCCUGGGAUUUACCGAGAAAUCAUUCCAGCUUGCCGAUUUAGAGGAAGUAAAAGUCGUAACA
rnacentral:rRNA from 1 species